UACAGAGGUCUCAAGCGUUGUUCGGAUUCAUUGGGCGUAAAGGGUGCGUAGGUGGCGCCGUAAGUCAGGUGUGAAAUCUCGGGGCUUAACUCCGAAACUGCAUUUGAUACUGCGGUGCUUGAGGACUGGAGAGGAGACUGGAAUUUACGGUGUAGCGGUGAAAUGCGUAGAUAUCGUAAGGAAGACCAGUGGCGAAGGCGGGUCUCUGGACAGUUCCUGACACUGUGGCACGAAGGCCAGGGGAGCAAACGGG
rnacentral:rRNA from 1 species